ACUUAAAUUGAAGAGUUUGAUCAUGGCUCAGAUUGAACGCUGGCGGCAGGCCUAACACAUGCAAGUCGAGCGGUAGCACAGAGAGCUUGCUCUCGGGUGACGAGCGGCGGACGGGUGAGUAAUGUCUGGGAAACUGCCUGAUGGAGGGGGAUAACUACUGGAAACGGUAGCUAAUACCGCAUAACGUCG
rnacentral:rRNA from 4 species